rnacentral:rRNA from 1 species
GAUGAACGCUGGCGGCGUGCCUAAUACAUGCAAGUCGAGCGAACAUAUGCUGAGCUUGCUCCUCUGACGUUAUCGGCGGACGGGUGAGUAAAACGUGGAUAACCUACCUAUAAGACUGGGAUAACUUCGGGAAACCGGAGCUAAUACCGGAUAAUAUAUUGAACCGCAUGGUUCAGUAGUUAAAGACGGUUUUGCUGUCACUUAUAGAUGGAUCCGCGCCGCAUUAGCUAGUUGGUAAGGUAACGGCUUACCAAGGCGACGAUGCGUAGCCGACCUGAGAGGGUGAUCGGCCACACUGGAACUGAGACACGGUCCAGACCCCUACGGGAGGCAGCAGUAGGGAAUCUUCCGCAAUGGGCGAAAGCCUGACGGAGCAACGCCGCGUGAGUGAUGAAGGUUUUCGGAUCGUAAAACUCUGUUAUUAGGGAAGAACAAAUGUGUAAGUAACUAUGCACGUCUUGACGGUACCUAAUCAGAAAGCCACGGCUAACUACGUG